rnacentral:rRNA from 1 species
GACGAACGCUGGCGGCGUGCCUAAUACAUGCAAGUCGAACGAGAGCGCCCGGUGCUUGCACUGGUCAAUCUAGUGGCGAACGGGUGAGUAACACGUGGGUAACCUGCCCAUCAGAGGGGGAUAACAUUCGGAAACGGAUGCUAAAACCGCAUAGGUCUUCGAACCGCAUGGUUUGAAGAGGAAAAGAGGCGCAAGCUUCUGCUGAUGGAUGGACCCGCGGUGCAUUAGCUAGUUGGUGAGGUAACGGCUCACCAAGGCCGUGAUGCAUAGCCGACCUGAGAGGGUGAUCGGCCACAUUGGGACUGAGACACGGCCCAAACUCCUACGGGAGGCAGCAGUAGGGAAUCUUCCGCAAUGGACGCAAGUCUGACGGAGCAACGCCGCGUGAGUGAAGAAGGUUUUCGGAUCGUAAAACUCUGUUGUUAGAGAAGAAUAAGUGCUAGAGUAACUGUUAGCGCCUUGACGGUAGCUAACCAGAAAGCCACGGCUAACUACGUG